UACAGAGGUCUCAAGCGUUGUUCGGAUUUAUUGGGCGUAAAGGGCGCGUAGGCGGCGGGGUAAGUCGGGUGUGAAAUCUCAGGGCUCAACUCCGAAACUGCAUUCGAUACUGCCGUGCUUGAGGACUGGAGAGGAGACUGGAAUUUACGGUGUAGCGGUGAAAUGCGUAGAUAUCGUAAGGAAGACCAGUGGCGAAGGCGGGUCUCUGGACAGUUCCUGACGCUGAGGCACGAAGGUCAGGGGAGCAAACGGGG
rnacentral:rRNA from 1 species